rnacentral:rRNA from 1 species
UACCAGCUCUCCGAGUUGUGGGGACGAUUAUUGGGUCUAAAGCAUCCGUAGCCGGCUGGGCAAGUCCUCUGUUAAACCCAGCGACAAAUCGUUGGCUUGCGGGGGAUACUGCUUGGCUAGGGGGCGGGAGAGGCCGUCGGUAUUCUCGGGGUAGGGGUGAAAUCCUAUAAUCCCGGGAGGACCACCAGUGGCGAAGGCUGUCGGCUAGAACGCGCCCGACGGUGAGGGAUGAAAGCUGGGGGAGCGAACCGGAUUAGAUACCCGGGUAGUCCCAGCUGUAAACGAUGCAGGCUAGGUGUUAGGGCGGCUACGGGCCGCUCUAGUGCCGCAGGGAAGCUGUUAAGCCUGCCACCUGGGGAGUACGGCCGCAAGGCUGAAACUUAAAGGAAUUGGCGGGGGAGCACCACAAGGGGUGAAGCUUGCGGUUUAAUUGGAGUCAACGCCGGAAAUCUCACCGGGGGCGACAGCAGGGUGAAGGCCAGAUUGAAGGUCUUGCCAGACGAGCUGAGAGGAGGUGCAUGGCCGUCGCCAGUUCGUGCCGUGAGGUGUCCUGUUAAGUCAGGCAACGAGCGAGACCCGCAUCCCCCGUUGCCACCAGCCUUGAGCUGAGCACACUGGGGAGACCGCCGUCGAGAAGACGGAGGAAGGAGCGGGCCACGGCAGGUCAGUAUGCCCCGAAUCUCCCGGGCCACACGCGAGCUGCAAUGGCAGGUACAAUGGGUUCCGACCUCGAAAGGGGAAGGCAAUCUCUAAAGCCUGCCGUAGUUGGGAUCGAGGGUUGAAACUCACCCUCGUGAACAUGGAAUCCCUAGUAAUCGCGUGUCACUAGCACGCGGUGAAUACGUCCCUGCUCCU